AUUGAACGCUGGCGGCAGGCCUAACACAUGCAAGUCGAACGAGUGGCGGACGUGUUAGUAAUGUCUGGGCCACUGCCUGAUGGAUGGGGCUCACUACUGGACACUGUUGCUACUACCGCAUACACUCGGAUGUGCCCAGAUGGGAUUAGCUAGUUGGUGGGGUAACGGCUAACCAAGGCGACGAGCCCUAGCUGGUCUGAGAGGAUGACCAGCCACACUGGAAAUGAGACACGGUCCAGACUCCUACGGGAGGCAGCAGUGGGGAAUAUUGCACAAUGGGCGAAAGCCUGAUGCAGCCAUGCCGCGUGUAUGAAGAAGGCCUUCGGGUUGUAAAGGACUUUCAGCGGGGAGGCGUUACCCGCAGAAGAAGCACCGGCUAACUCCGUGCCAGCAGCCGCGGUAAUAC
rnacentral:rRNA from 1 species